UUUUUAUUUAAAAAAAAAAUUGGAGACCUUUUGAUUGGACUCCAAAGAUUGGAGGCUUCUUCAGCUUUCACCUACUAGCACAUCAGCUGAUCUCUUGCAGAGCUAAUUUGUAUGGCAGGUACCUAGGUUGUAGAGGAACUUGGAAAUCUGGGAUCUGGAAUAACUAGGAAUGAAAGGUAGAGGCUUAGACAGAGAAGCAAGCCAUCUAGAGAAAGCACAGAGCCCGAAUCUAGCCAAAGCUGGUGAAACAACUAGCCAGGGACUGAGAACCCACAGCACACAGAGAGUGAGGUGAAAAAGGAAGCGGCCGCAGACAAGGAUGCCAACUAGAGGUACAAGGUGUGAGAGUGGCAAUCCUGACCCCCCAGGGAGGUCUACAUGCUCUACUGCUUCUUAUGGUUGGAGAGAGAGGUGUAGCCAGCCAGUAUGAAGAUGGCAGUGGCUGUUCCAGAGCGCCUAUGUAGGGGCCCAAAAGGCAACAGUCUGAUAGGAGUCAGGGCACAGGAGGCUUGUUUUCAAGCUGUAUCAACACGAAUAGAGCACAGUUUCUACUGGGGUGUAUGGUUAGGGAUUGAUUGAUAAUGGAGAUGGGGAGGGGGAUGGAUGUUGUGAGUAAUGUAGCCCUUAGUGCCCUUUGGCAUGAGGAAGUCAGUGAGUCACAUUAGGCUGGAAAGAUGAGAAAGAUGCUGGUCUAGCACCAACCUGUGGGGGCCCAAGGGCCACACUGGAAUGGUGUACUGGAAUAGCUCUAGCAUCUAAGAAGCAGCUUCAUGAUACAGGACCAGAAAGGCAGGCACAAGGACUGGGUCUCUCAAUGGGAAACCAGGUAAGGGAGGAGGGGACUCCACGAGCAAGACUUAUACAAGAAGCCAAAUGGAUACAGAGAAACCCCCAAAUGAAAAUGGCUAGAGUUUUCUUUUUUUUUCUUUUCUUUCCCUUCCCUUCCCUUUUCUUUUCUUUCCUUUCUCAAUUCUGGGUAAUCAAAUCUAGAAUCUCAUCAAACUCAGAAUCUCAUCUGUGCUAGGCAAACUACCAACUGAGCCACAACCCUUGCCCCAAAAUCUUAUGUGCAGA
rnacentral:lncRNA from 1 species